rnacentral:sRNA from 1 species
GGACUCAGAUGAUCUCCCCUUGAAUGUUUCCCGCGAGACUCUUCAGCAACAUAAACUGCUUAAGGUGAUUAGGAAGAAGCUUGUUCGUAAAACACUGGACAUGAUCAAGAAGAUUGCUGAUGAUAAAUACAAUGAUACUUUUUGGAAAGAAUUUGGUACCAACAUCAAGCUUGGUGUGAUUGAAGACCACUCGAAUCGAACACGUCUUGCUAAACUUCUUAGGUUCCAGUCUUCUCAUCAUCCAACUGACAUUACUAGCCUAGACCAGUAUGUGGAAAGAAUGAAGGAAAAACAAGACAAAAUCUACUUCAUGGCUGGGUCCAGCAGAAAAGAGGCUGAAUCUUCUCCAUUUGUUGAGCGACUUCUGAAAAAGGGCUAUGAAGUUAUUUACCUCACAGAACCUGUGGAUGAAUACUGUAUUCAGGCCCUUCCCGAAUUUGAUGGGAAGAGGUUCCAGAAUGUUGCCAAGGAAGGAGUGAAGUUUGAUGAAAGUGAGAAAACUAAGGAGAGUCGUGAAGCAGUUGAGAAAGAAUUUGAGCCUCUGCUGAAUUGGAUGAAAGAUAAAGCCCUUAAGGACAAGGUAUUGUGGAAAUUACAAAUUGUGGAAAUAUUAGUAUCUGCAUUUAAGAGAAAGUUAUUUUGUCAACAAAUUAAGCUGCAGCUGGUUACUUUGUAACCAUUAGAAUGGUAAAAAUUUAAUUAAUGUAAUUAAAUUAUUGGGAGAAAGC